ensembl:misc_RNA Gm27980 predicted gene, 27980
AGAGUUGAAUUGGAGUUCUUCAUUUAUUCACAGAACCAGUUCUGUAUUGCCGGCCGCAGGGCAGGCUUGCUCACAGAGCCCUGCCAGCGACUUUACACCCUGACCUGGAGAGACCAGCUAAGGGUGAGAAUGUUGAUUCACUCUCCAUGCCAUCUCAUGUUUGGUUAGC